rnacentral:rRNA from 1 species
AGCGAACGCUGGCGGCAGGCCUAACACAUGCAAGUCGAACGAACUCUUCGGAGUUAGUGGCGGACGGGUGAGUAACACGUGGGAACGUGCCUUUUGGUUCGGAAUAACUCAGGGAAACUUGUGCUAAUACCGAAUGCGCCCUUCGGGGGAAAGAUUUAUCGCCAUUAGAGCGGCCCGCGUCUGAUUAGCUAGUUGGUGAGGUAACGGCUCACCAAGGCGACGAUCAGUAGCUGGUCUGAGAGGAUGACCAGCCACACUGGGACUGAGACACGGCCCAGACUCCUACGGGAGGCAGCAGUGGGGAAUCUUGCGCAAUGGGCGAAAGCCUGACGCAGCCAUGCCGCGUGAAUGGUGAAGGUCUUAGGAUUGUAAAAUUCUUUCACCGGGGACGAUAAUGACGGUACCCGGAGAAGAAGCCCCGGCUAACUUCGUG